UAGAGUUUGAUCCUGGCUCAGGAUGAACGCUAGCGGCAGGCUUAACACAUGCAAGUCGAGGGGUAUAGUUCUUCGGAAUUAGAGACCGGCGCACGGGUGCGUAACGCGUAUGCAAUCUACCUUUUACAGAGGGAUAGCCCAGAGAAAUUUGGAUUAAUACCUCAUAGUAUUGCAGGAUGGCAUCAUCCAGUAAUUAAAGUCACAACGGUAAAAGAUGAGCAUGCGUCCCAUUAGCUAGUUGGUAAGGUAACGGCUUACCAAGGCUACGAUGGGUAGGGGUCCUGAGAGGGAGAUCCCCCACACUGGUACUGAGACACGGACCAGACUCCUACGGGAGGCAGCAGUGAGGAAUAUUGGACAAUGGGCGCAAGCCUGAUCCAGCCAUGCCGCGUGCAGGAUGACGGUCCUAUGGAUUGUAAACUGCUUUUAUACAGGAAGAAACACCUCUACGAGUAGAGACUUGACGGUACUGUAAGAAUAAGGAUCGGCUAACUCCGUGCCAGCAGCCGCGGUAAUACGGAGGAUCCAA
rnacentral:rRNA from 1 species